CACCUUUUUUUUUUUUUACCCAGCUUGGCCACUUGUUCAAAAACAGCAGCAUUGGCUCCCUGUACUUUGGAUGCAAGGUUCUUGAACUCAGAUCUAUGAAGAAAAAGGAUCACAGACAGGUGUGAGUGCCCUCUGCACCUACCACCAGUUCCCCAGCAGCAUUGUUCUGGAUGCCAAGCAGGUUUUCCAUGAGCUGAGCAACCAGAGUCAUGGCCUCCAGAAAUUGGGCCUCUGCUACCUGGACAAGGACAGUAUUUACCUCAAUGUUCCAGGUCCAGCCACAACAGUUGCAUCUAAGCCUGCCCUGGGGCCCAUAUGUAACCCAAAAGCUUUAAGACAGAACCAAUACAUUGGAUGACAGAGUUGGAAUCCCAAAGUAUAGGCUAGAAUGUUGGUGUCAAAUCUAAUAAGGUGAAACCUAAUAGGAAUAAUAAAACUUUAUAUCUGGACUCUAAAAACCAACUUCAUGAGUUCAAGAUGGAGGAGCUGUGCUAGACUUCUCUGAAAAAAAAAUUGGGAAUUUUAAUGGACUACCAGCUCAACAAGGUUCAACAAUGUUGUAUGAUAAAUAAAAAAGUUAAGAAAAAUCUUAGGCUGUGCUGAGAAAGAUAACAUAUUCAACUAUCUCCAGGUGGUUAAAGGGCUGUCACAGGGAAAAGAAAAGGGCCUGGACUUGUCCUGCUUGGUGUCCCAGAGGGCUGAACUAGUAACAAUGAGUAAAGUUGCAAAGAAGCAAAUUUAUGCUUGACGUCAAGAAAACUUUCCUAUUGAGUGGUGGUAUACCAAACUGAGAUGGUCUACUUCAGGAAGUAAAAGGUUACCCUUCCCUGAAGAACUUCAAAUAAAUAACUACUAGAUCACCACUUGUUGGGGACAUUGUAGAGGGGAUUCUUGGUCAGUUAUGGGUUGGACCAGGUCAUCCCUGAGGUGCUGCAUUCUGUCAAUCCUUAUUCUUGGUGUGUUGAAUUUCUCUUCUAAGCCAGAAGACUGGGGAGAGCAGUCUGGUGACAAGCCAGGGCAACCUGAAGCUUCGGGGUCAGCCACUGGAUCAACCUUCACUCCUUCACUAGGAUCUACAGGGCCUGGAGCCUACGCGGGUAGGAAUAUGGUGACUGAAGUAUUCUGGAAAGUGCUCACUGGGCUUUUCAAAGCUCUUGAAAGAAGGAAAAAGGAAACAGACUUUAUCCAUACAAAUCCUUCUUACUCUAAGAAGUAG
rnacentral:lncRNA from 1 species